rnacentral:rRNA from 1 species
AUGAGCGCACACACGACGGCGCUCCAGCCAGCCCCGGCUCCUUACGGAACGACGGCGGCACACCGCGGAGGUGCAAAACGGGACGACCGCUCCCCAUCGGCCUGUCGACUCCCAGUGCGCGCUCAUGGCGCUGCUACAGGGCACCGGCUGCAAGACACGGCAGCGGACGCUCAAACCACUUCCCCGUCCGAUAAGAAGAAGGAAAUAAAGCCAAACGAUUUGCUCAUCUUAUCAUCUCGUAAUCAACCAAUUGAUUAUUUUGUAUGUACAUCCAUGCACUCACGGGAAGUGAUUUGUACCAGAAGAAGGAACCAUCACAUGCCCGCCGUUUUGGGCAUCGUCGAUGGCGGAAAGUCGUCGAACAACGGGCCGUAUCUUUUGGUGUGUGGCGGAGGCGUCCUCCGGUGCUCCACUAGGACGCACAAACUUGAACACGACCAUCGAACUGGAAGGCGAGACGACCUGGCGCGGCGGCUCUGCAUCGACCAACGGCGACUCCGCGCGGUUGCUGGUGUGGAGAUGCGGUUCUAA